GGAGGAAGUAGGGGAUCGCAAGACCUUGCGCUUUUGGAGCGGCCGAUGCCUGAUUAGCUUGUUGGUAAGGUAAAAGCUUACCAAGGCUUCGAUCAGUAGCUGGUCUGAGAGGACGGCCAGCCACACUGGGACUGAGACACGGCCCAGACUCCUACGGGAGGCAGCAGUGGGGAAUUUUGGACAAUGGGGGCAACCCUGAUCCAGCCAUGCCGCGUGAGUGAAGAAGGCCUUCGGGUUGUAAAGCUCUUUCAGCCGGAACGAAACGGUUACGGUUAAUACCUGUGACUAAUGACGGUACCGGAAGAAGAAGCACCGGCUAACUACGUGCCAGCAGCCGCGGUAAUACGUAGGGUGCGAGCGUUAAUCGGAAUUACUGGGCGUAAAGCGUGCGCAGGUGGUUUUGUAAGUCAGAUGUGAAAUCCCCGGGCUCAACCUGGGAACUGCGUUUGAAACUACAAAGCUAG
rnacentral:rRNA from 1 species